AACGAGCGCUGGCGGCAGGCCUAACACAUGCAAGUCGAGCGAGGACUUCGGUCCUAGCGGCGGACGGGUGAGUAACGCGUGGGAACGUGCCCUUUGCUUCGGAAUAGCCCUGGGAAACUGGGAGUAAUACCGGAUGAGCCCUUUGGGGGAAAGAUUUAUCGGCGAAGGAUCGGCCCGCGUUGGAUUAGGUAGUUGGUGGGGUAAUGGCCUACCAAGCCGACGAUCCAUAGCUGGUUUGAGAGGAUGAUCAGCCACACUGGGACUGAGACACGGCCCAGACUCCUACGGGAGGCAGCAGUGGGGAAUCUUAGACAAUGGGGGAAACCCUGAUCUAGCCAUGCCGCGUGAGCGAUGAAGGCCUUAGGGUUGUAAAGCUCUUUCAGCUGGGAAGAUAAUGACGGUACCAGCAGAAGAAGCCCCGGCUAACUCCGUG
rnacentral:rRNA from 1 species